AUUGAACGCUGGCGGCAUGCCUUACACAUGCAAGUCGAACGGCAGCACGGGUGCUUGCCCCUGGUGGCGAGUGGCGAACGGGUGAGUAAUACAUCGGAACAUGUCCUGUAGUGGGGGAUAGCCCGGCGAAAGCCGGAUUAAUACCGCAUACGAUCUACGGAUGAAAGCGGGGGACCUUCGGGCCUCGCGCUAUAGGGUUGGCCGAUAGCUGAUUAGCUAGUUGGUGGGGUAAAGGCCUACCAAGGCGACGAUCAGUAGCUGGUCUGAGAGGACGACCAGCCACACUGGGACUGAGACACAGCCCAGACUCCUACGGGAGGCAGCAGUGGGGAAUUUUGGACAAUGGGCGAAAGCCUGAUCCAGCAAUGCCGCGUGUGUGAAGAAGGCCUUCGGGUUGUAAAGCACUUUUGUCCGGAAAGAAAUCCUUGGCUCUAAUACAGUCGGGGGAUGACGGUACCGGAAGAAUAAGCACCGGCUAACUACGUG
rnacentral:rRNA from 1 species